CCUACGGGAGGCAGCAGUGGGGAAUUUUGGACAAUGGACGCAAGUCUGAUCCAGCCAUGCCGCGUGUGGGAAGAAGGCCUUCGGGUUGUAAACCACUUUUGUCAGGGAAGAAACGGCUCGGGUUAAUACCUUGGGCUAAUGACGGUACCUGAAGAAUAAGCACCGGCUAACUACGUGCCAGCAGCCGCGGUAAUACGUAGGGUGCAAGCGUUAAUCGGAAUUACUGGGCGUAAAGCGUGCGCAGGCGGUUAUGCAAGACAGAUGUGAAAUCCCCGGGCUCAACCUGGGAACUGCAUUUGUGACUGCAUGGCUAGAGUACGGUAGAGGGGGAUGGAAUUCCGCGUGUAGCAGUGAAAUGCGUAGAUAUGCGGAGGAACACCGAUGGCGAAGGCAAUCCCCUGGACCUGUACUGACGCUCAUGCACGAAAGCGUGGGGAGCAAACAGGAUUAGAUACCCUGGUAGUCCACGCCCUAAACGAUGUCAACUGGUUNUUGGGAGGGUUUCUUCUCAGUAACGUAGCUAACGCGUGAAGUUGACCGCCUGGGG
rnacentral:rRNA from 1 species